AUAGUAGCUCAGUUGGAUAGAGCAACGGCCUUCUAAGCCGUGGGUCGGGGGUUCGAAUCCCUCCUGUCG
rnacentral:tRNA from 1 species